rnacentral:rRNA from 1 species
AGGGUUUGAUUAUGGCUCAGGAUAAACGCUGGCGGCGCACAUAAGACAUGCAAGUCGAACGGACUUAACCGAAAGUUUACUUUUGGAGCGGUUAGUGGCGGACUGGUGAGUAACACGUAAGCAACCUGCCUAUCAGAGGGGAACAACAGUUAGAAAUGACUGCUAAUACCGCAUAUGCCUAAGUAUCACAUGGUACAAUAGGGAAAGAAGCAAUUCGCUGAUAGAUGGGCUUGCGUCUGAUUAGAUAGUUGGUGGGGUAACGGCCUACCAAGUCAACGAUCAGUAGCCGGACUGAGAGGUUGAACGGCCACAUUGGGACUGAGAUACGGCCCAG